UAAAAAAUCCUUAGGAUAGAUUAGAUUGAUAUCCGGCCAUUUGUGAGACAGGGUCAAAAUCAGACCUUUGGCCACAAAAAUGACGGCUUAGGAAAAAAUAGGGAUUCAUUUAAAGAUCGAAGACUAAGAUUUGAGAGCUAGCUUGAAGCUCUUUCCAAUGGCAUAAGGAUUGUUUUUAGAAAGUUUUUAAAGACUUAGCAAUUGUUGUUCAAAGUUAGGGUUUGUAUUGGUGAUUUGAGUUUUAUAUAAAAUAAUUAAGGCGAGCAAUUUUGUCUAGUUCGUGCAAUUGGUAUAACAUCUGUGGUUGAAAAUUUGAGACUAUUUGGAUUAUUAUGUGUGCUAAGUGUAUACAAAAUUUUGUAAUAAUCUAACGGCGUGGUUUAGAGAUAUCUAGGUUUUAGCACAAGAGGGUUUCAAAAGUUGGCAGUUUGAGGUUGGGUAGGAUUUUUGUGAUAUCUAGAGAUCUAUCAAUUGGAUCAAGGUGAAAUUUGGCAUGGUGUUGAAAGACUUAAAGAUCAAGCUGCACAUCAAUUUUGAGUCAAAGUUAAUGGUUGGAAAGGGAGAAAUCACUACUAGGAUUUCUGCUUCAUUUUUCAAGUUGGCGGCCGAGUGACAUCAAUGCACUUUUUGGAGGUUUUCUCACAAUUUUAUAGUUGGAUUGGGCUAAAAAUUCUUGAUCAUUUAGAAGACUUACAUUGACAAUUGCAUGGAAAAUUUUACAUCAAGUGGACGGUCGGAUUGGAUGUUAGAACUUGUUAAAGCUCAUUGAUUAGGAUUGGGGCUUAUAAGAAAAAUCUAAACUUCUUAAAUAUAAAAGUAACAAGGUAAUUGGGAUUUAUGUAUGGUUAAGGCUACUAAGAAGAGUGUUUUUAGCUCUUUUGAAUUGAAAUUCAGAUUAUAUUCUUCUUGUAUGGAUGAAACCUAUUAGGGUUUUUUGGAUACUUAUGAAACACAUCCUCACCUUCCAUAGCUAGGUGCUUGGUGCAUUCCCGAAUAAGACAACUCGUAAUACGACAGCAUAUAACAUGGAGAUAUAAGAAUGCAAGUGAAUCUUUUAUCUAUAUAUUCUUCAAAGUAGAUAGUUUUGAAUGUAGAUUUUUGGAUUUGAUGACUUUGAGGAUUUUGAGAUUUGAAAGAAUUAAGAACUUAGGUCAUAUGUAUAAAGGUUGGAUAAAGAAAUAUGAAAAAAACUUAAAAAGGUUGGAUGUAAUUUUAAGUAGUGAGUGCAUUUUGGAUGUUAUCAAAG
rnacentral:lncRNA from 1 species